ACGAACGCUGGCGGCAGGCUUAACACAUGCAAGUCGAACGAAGGCUUCGGCCUUAGUGGCGCACGGGUGAGUAACACGUGGGAAUAUACCUCUCAGUGGGGGAUAACGUCGGGAAACUGACGCUAAUACCGCAUACGCCCUUCGGGGGAAAGAUUUAUCGCUGAGAGAUUAGCCCGCGUCCGAUUAGCUAGUUGGUAAGGUAAUGGCUUACCAAGGCUACGAUCGGUAGCUGGUCUGAGAGGAUGAUCAGCCACACUGGGACUGAGACACGGCCCAGACUCCUACGGGAGGCAGCAGUGGGGAAUAUUGGACAAUGGGGGCAACCCUGAUCCAGCCAUGCCGCGUGAGUGAUGAAGGCCUUAGGGUUGUAAAGCUCUUUCGACGGGGACGAUGAUGACGGUACCCGUAGAAGAAGCCCCGGCUAACUUCGU
rnacentral:rRNA from 1 species